UACGUAGGGUGCGAGCGUUAAUCGGAAUUACUGGGCGUAAAGCGUGCGCAGGCGGUUUUGUAAGCCAGAUGUGAAAUCCCCGGGCUCAACCUGGGAAUGGCAUUUGGGACUGCAAGGCUCGAGUGCGGCAGAGGAGACUGGAAUUCCUGGUGUAGCAGUGAAAUGCGUAGAUAUCAGGAGGAACACCGAUGGCGAAGGCAGGUCUCUGGGCUGACACUGACGCUCAUGCACGAAAGCGUGGGGAGCAAACGA
rnacentral:rRNA from 1 species